rnacentral:rRNA from 1 species
UACGUAGGGGGCAAGCGUUAUCCGGAUUUACUGGGUGUAAAGGGAGCGUAGGUGGCAAGGCAAGUCAGAUGUGAAAACCCGGGGCCCAACCCCGGGAGUGCAUUUGAAACUGUCUGGCUAGAGUGCAGGAGAGGUAAGUGGAAUUCCUAGUGUAGCGGUGAAAUGCAUAGAUAUCGCGCAGAACUCCGAUUGCGAAGGCAGCAUGCCGGCUCCACACUGACGCUGAGGCACGAAAGCGUGGGUAUCGAACAGG